rnacentral:rRNA from 1 species
GACGAACGCUGGCGGCGUGCUUAACACAUGCAAGUCGAACGGAAAGGCCCUGCUUUUGUGGGGUGCUCGAGUGGCGAACGGGUGAGUAACACGUGAGUAACCUGCCCUUGACUUUGGGAUAACUUCAGGAAACUGGGGCUAAUACCGGAUAGGAGCUCCUGCUGCAUGGUGGGGGUUGGAAAGUUUCGGCGGUUGGGGAUGGACUCGCGGCUUAUCAGCUUGUUGGUGGGGUAGUGGCUUACCAAGGCUUUGACGGGUAGCCGGCCUGAGAGGGUGACCGGCCACAUUGGGACUGAGAUACGGCCCAGACUCCUACGGGAGGCAGGAGUGGGGAAUAUUGCACAAUGGGCGGAAGCCUGAUGCAGCAACGCCGCGUGCGGGAUGACGGCCUUCGGGUUGUAACCCGCUUUCGCCUGUGACGAAGCGUGAGUGACGGUAAUGGGUAAAGAAGCACCGGCUAACUACGUG